UAGCCAUUUUUGCUACGCUGGUCCUUU
rnacentral:piRNA from 1 species